rnacentral:piRNA from 1 species
UGUAUCCAAAGAAAAGUAUGUCUCCGUCA